GAUGAACGCUGGCGGCGUGCCUAAUACAUGCAAGUAGAACGCUGAAGGAGGAGCUUGCUCUUCUGGAUGAGUUGCGAACGGGUGAGUAACGCGUAGGUAACCUGCCUGGUAGCGGGGGAUAACUAUUGGAAACGAUAGCUAAUACCGCAUGACAACAGUUAUUGCAUGAUAACUGUUUAAAAGGGGCAACUGCUCCACUACCAGAUGGACCUGCGUUGUAUUAGCUAGUUGGUGAGGUAACGGCUCACCAAGGCGACGAUACAUAGCCGACCUGAGAGGGUGAUCGGCCACACUGGGACUGGGACACGGCCCAGACUCCUACGGGAGGCAGCAGUAGGGAAUCUUCGGCAAUGGACGGAAGUCUGACCGAGCAACGCCGCGGGAGUGAAGAAGGUUUUCGGAUCGUAAAGCUCUGUUGUAAGAGAAGAACGAGUGUGAGAGUGGAAAGUUCACACUGUGACGGUAUCUUACCAGAAAGGGACGGCUAACUACGUG
rnacentral:rRNA from 1 species